CUUCAUUGAAGGCAUCCAUGCACAUGAAAUUCCAAAAACAACCUCACCAUCUUAAUUUAUUCGAGGCAAUUAUUUGUUGUUAUUUGUAAGGUAGUUUGGAAAUUUUGAUUCACGAGUCCAUUUGGUCGCCGUUACAAUAAGGUAACAUGUAAUGCUUAGUUUUUUUUUGUUUUUUGUUUUUUUUUAAAUUAAGAAGUAUAUUUUGAAAAUGAGGAGCAAAAUUAAUUAAUUUAUUAAUAGUUGCAUAUUCGUGGGAAAGUGGUCAUUGGUCAAACACACAUAGCACUAUAGCCGGUUUGGUUUCGAUGAUUUAAUUAAUUAUUCCAAACUAUGCUUCUUCAUAUGCUUCAAUUUUUUCAAAAUAGAAAGAGACAUAUAGUAGUAUAUACCAUCUAAUUAGCUGGGAGAAAUUAAGGUAUGGAACCAAUUGCUGGUGAAUAUUGAUUUCUUUCUAUAUAUACAUGUUUUGUUUUAAUUUGUUCUACAUGCUUUUUUUUUCUUGAAUGAAUUUGUGUGAAGGAUUUAAAGAUGAACAUGGUGAUGAAGAAAGAAAGCAAGGUAUUGGCGCGCCUCAAUUUGAAGACAUGGCUAUGAAUCAUGGAAAAUUAAUUAGCAGCCAUGUAGUUUGAUUGAGCCGCGUCAAUAUCUUGUUUCCAUCAACCAAUCUCAUCAAUUUCUUAAACAAGGUAUGAGUAGAGUUGAGGUUCCUGCUUCAAGAAAUAGAAUAGAAUCUACAGACAAAUUCAUUAUCGAUCAGGUAUUUCCUUCUCGAGAAGCUGUGUUUGAAUGGGAAAAAACCAUUGGAAGAGAAAAUGGAAUUUUAAUUGUUACCAUUCGUUCAGAUAAAGCAACCGGAAAGAGGGGAAGAAAAGACAAAUUGAUUUUGGGAUGCGAAAGAGGUGAAAGAUAUAAAUCAAAAUCAAA